AAUGGGUCAGCGACUUAUAUUCUGUAGCAAGGUUAACCGAAUAGGGGAGCCGAAGGGAAACCGAGUCUUAACUGGGCGUUAAGUUGCAGGGUAUAGACCCGAAACCCGGUGAUCUAGCCAUGGGCAGGUUGAAGGUUGGGUAACACUAACUGGAGGACCGAACCGACUAAUGUUGAAAAAUUAGCGGAUGACUUGUGGCUGGGGGUGAAAGGCCAAUCAAACCGGGAGAUAGCUGGUUCUCCCCGAAAGCUAUUUAGGUAGCGCCUCGUGAAUUCAUCUCCGGGGGUAGAGCACUGUUUCGGCAAGGGGGUCAUCCCGACUUACCAACCCGAUGCAAACUGCGAAUACCGGAGAAUGUUAUCACGGGAGACACACGGCGGGUGCUAACGUCCGUCGUGAAGAGGGAAACAACCCAGACCGCCAGCUAAGGUCCCAAAGUCAUG
rnacentral:rRNA from 1 species